GGAAUUUUGAGAGAAUCGUGUUCCAAGAGUUGGUAGGUGUAUUUAAAGAGUCCAAGGUCUUAUAAAUCUUUCCAUAAACAUUUCACACUUUUAAUGUGGGUCUCAAGGCAGAAGUUGAUGAACGCUUCAACACACACCAAAUUCAUUGCACUUCAAUAUUAGUUACCUGGUUGUCCCGCCACUACAUUCAAUUCAAAAUCUUAAUGCAUUCAUUUCAUACAUCCCUACUAUUUAUGUUGUGUUCAAUUCAACGUAUCUAUUUUCAUUUAUGUCUGACUUCUUUUUCCCAAUAAUUUCAGGCCUUUAUCUAGGAUCUUGACACCCCAUCAUUACCUAAACCAAGCCUUGGUUUCAGUUAUAGCGGGAGGUUAUAAUACUCAACAACUUGUGUCAAAUGUGUCCUUUUGCUAAUAAUUAAAUGUCCCAAGUGCAGGUUUUGAAUCAUAUAUAGUGUGCAUUUGA
rnacentral:lncRNA from 1 species